rnacentral:rRNA from 1 species
AAAAUUUAAAAUUAUAAUACUAAAAUAGUAGGUAAUUAAUUAUUGAAACUUAAAUAAUUUGGCGGUAUUUUAGUUCAUUUAGAGGAAUCUGUUUAAUAAUUGAUAUUCCACGAAUGAAUUUACUUAAUUUAUAAUUUUGUAUAUCGUUGUUAUAAAAAUAUUUUUUAAUAAAAUUAAUAUUUAAAAAUUAUUAUUAUAAAUUUAAAUCAGAUCAAGAUGCAGAUUAUAAUUAAGAAUAUAAUGGAUUACAAUAAAAUUAUUUAAAUGAAUAUUAGUUUGUAAAAAUUAAUUGAAAGUGGAUUUAAAUGUAAUUUUAUUUAAUUUAUUAAAAUGAUUAAAAAUUAAAAUAUGU